rnacentral:rRNA from 1 species
UGGGGAAUCUUGGACAAUGGGCGCAAGCCUGAUCCAGCCAUGCCGCGUGAGUGAUGAAGGCCCUAGGGUUGUAAAACUCUUUCGUGGGGGACGAUAAUGACGGUACCCCAAGAAGAAGCUCCGGCUAACUUCGUGCCAGCAGCCGCGGUAAUACGAAGGGGGCUAGCGUUGUUCGGAUUUACUGGGCGUAAAGCGCGUGUAGGCGGGCUGGAAAGUUGGGGGUGAAAUCCCGAGGCUCAACCUCGGAACUGCCUCCAAAACUUCCAGCCUGGACUCAAGUAGAGGCAAGUGGAAUUGCGAGUGUAGAGGUGAAAUUCGUAGAUAUUCGCAGGAACACCAGUGGCGAAGGCGACUUGCUGGACUUGUAGUGACGCUGAGACGCGAAAGCGUGGGGAGCAAACAGGAUUAGAUACCCACGUAGUCCCUGAGCGGGCUGGCAAGGCGCAU